rnacentral:rRNA from 1 species
UCCUACGGGGGGCAGCAGUGAGGAAUAUUAGUCAAUGGGCGAGAGCCUGAACCAGCCAAGUCGCGUGAGGGAAGACGGUCCUAUGGAUUGUAAACCUCUUUUGCCGGGGAGCAAAAAGCGGUACGUGUACCGCAUCGAGAGUACCCGGAGAAAAAGCAUCGGCUAACUCCGUGCCAGCAGCCGCGGUAAUACGGAGGAUGCGAGCGUUAUCCGGAUUUAUUGGGUUUAAAGGGUGCGCAGGCGGCGAGUUAAGUCAGCGGUAAAAUUUCGGGGCUCAACCCCGCCAAGCCGUUGAAACUGGCUUG